CAGGACGAACGCUGGCGGCGUGCUUAACACAUGCAAGUCGAACGGUAAGGCUCCAGCUUGCUGGGGUACACGAGUGGCGAACGGGUGAGUAACACGUGGGUGACCUGCCCUGCACUUCGGGAUAAGCCUGGGAAACUGGGUCUAAUACCGGAUAGGACCGCACUGUGAGGGUGUGGUGGAAAGUUUUUUCGGUGUGGGAUGGGCCCGCGGCCUAUCAGCUUGUUGGUGGGGUAAUGGCCUACCAAGGCGGCGACGGGUAGCCGGCCUGAGAGGGUGGACGGCCACAUUGGGACUGAGACACGGCCCAGACUCCUACGGGAGGCAGCAGUGGGGAAUAUUGCACAAUGGGCGGAAGCCUGAUGCAGCGACGCCGCGUGGGGGAUGACGGCCUUCGGGUUGUAAACUCCUUUCACCAUCGACGAAGGGUUCUGACGGUAGAUGGAGAAGAAGCAC
rnacentral:rRNA from 1 species